UUUUGAUUUCAAAGAUAUAAUUUCAUUAAAGUUUUCUGAACAAAUUGGUUAAGUCAGCUCUGCUUAGCCUGAAUUCUGCUUGGAAAACUGAAAGAGAGGUCAGACGUGCAAAGACCACUUCAGCUUGUGACCUUCACUAUAGUCAGCAAGGUUGCUUAAACUUCAGGCUUCAUCACUAAGUUGAAAUGACACAGGAAAACCUGAAAUGGCUCUUUAGGUCCGCCAUCACAACAGCCAUGAAACCUGGACUGUUCAACCCUUGCUGUAUAUUCACUGGACAUGGCUAAUGCACCUUCUGAACAACCCAGGUGGUGUUUUGCUUUGGGUAACUCCUCUCACACAGCUGACCUUAAG
rnacentral:lncRNA from 1 species